CGUCGCCGUCUAACAAUGCAAGUCGAGCGGAACGAGUUAUCUGAACCUUCGGGGAACGAUAACGGCGUCGAGCGGCGGACGGGUGAGUAAUGCCUAGGAAAUUGCCCUGAUGUGGGGGAUAACCAUUGGAAACGAUGGCUAAUACCGCAUAAUGCCUACGGGCCAAAGAGGGGGACCUUCGGGCCUCUCGCGUCAGGAUAUGCCUAGGUGGGAUUAGCUAGUUGGUGAGGUAAUGGCUCACCAAGGCGACGAUCCCUAGCUGGUCUGAGAGGAUGAUCAGCCACACUGGAACUGAGACACGGUCCAGACUCCUACGGGAGGCAGCAGUGGGGAAUAUUGCACAAUGGGCGCAAGCCUGAUGCAGCCAUGCCGCGUGUGUGAAGAAGGCCUUCGGGUUGUAAAGCACUUUCAGUCGUGAGGAAGGUGGUGUAGUUAAUAGCUGCAUUACUUGACGUUAGCGACAGAAGAAGCACCGGCUAACUCCGUGCCAGCAGCCGCGGUAAUACGGAGGGUGCGAGCGUUAAUCGGAAUUACUGGGCGUAAAGCGCAUGCAGGUGGUUUGUUAAGUCAGAUGUGAAAGCCCGGGGCUCAACCUCGGAAUAGCAUUUGAAACUGGCAGACUAGAGUACUGUAGAGGGGGGUAGAAUUUCAGGUGUAGCGGUGAAAUGCGUAGAGAUCUGAAGGAAUACCGGUGGCGAAGGCGGCCCCCUGGACAGAUACUGACACUCAGAUGCGAAAGCGUGGGGAGCAAAACAGGAUUAGAUACCCUGGUAGUCCACGCCGUAAACGAUGUCUACUUGGAGGUUGUGGUCCUUGAGCCGUGGCUUUCGGGAGCUAACGCGGUUAAGUAGACCCGGCCCUGGGGGAGUACGGUCGGCCAAGGAU
rnacentral:rRNA from 1 species